GCUUGCUGGGUGGAUUAGUGGCGAACGGGUGAGUAACACGUGAGUAACCUGCCCUUAACUCUGGGAUAAGCCUGGGAAACUGGGUCUAAUACCGGAUAGGAGCGUCCACCGCAUGGUGGGUGUUGGAAAGAUUUAUCGGUUUUGGAUGGACUCGCGGCCUAUCAGCUUGUUGGUGAGGUAAUGGCUCACCAAGGCGACGACGGGUAGCCGGCCUGAGAGGGUGACCGGCCACACUGGGACUGAGACACGGCCCAGACUCCUACGGGAGGCAGCAGUGGGGAAUAUUGCACGAUGGGCGCAAGCCUGAUGCAGCGACGCCGCGUGAGGGAUGACGGCCUUCGGGUUGUAAACCUCUUUCAGUAGGGAAGAAGCGAAAGUGACGGUACCUGCAGAAGAAGCACCGGCUAACUACGUGCCAGCAGCCGCGGUAAUACGUAGGGUGCGAGCGUUAUCCGGAAUUAUUGGGCGUAAAGAGCUCGUAGGCGGUUUGUCGCGUCUGUCGUGAAAGUCCGGGGCUUAACCCCGGAUCUGCGGUGGGUACGGGCAGACUAGAGUGCAGUAGGGGAGACUGGAAUUCCUGGUGUAGCGGUGGAAUGCGCAGAUAUCAGGAGGAACACCGAUGGCGAAGGC
rnacentral:rRNA from 1 species